rnacentral:rRNA from 1 species
UACGUAGGGGGCGAGCGUUGUCCGGAUUUAUUGGGCGUAAAGAGCGUGUAGGCGGCCAGGUAGGUCUGCUGUGAAAACUCGAGGCUCAACCUCGAGACGUCGGCGGAAACCAUCUGGCUAGAGUCCGGAAGAGGAGAGUGGAAUUCCUGGUGUAGCGGUGAAAUGCGCAGAUAUCAGGAGGAACACCGGUGGUGUAGACGGCUUUCUGGACCGUAACUGACGCUGAGACACGAAAGCGUGGGUAGCAAACAGG